rnacentral:misc_RNA from 1 species
GCGGGUUCUUAGUAUCAGGAGCUGUGAUCCCAUACUCCUUCAACUUCGCCCCUAGUUCUUCAGGCGAGAGGUCAUCCAGCACAGCCAUGACGUGCUUCAUCUCCGCAGCCUUUUCAGCUGGCAGCGUGAGAUCCUUCUCAAGCUUCUCCUUACAAUGAUCCUUCAGUAGGUGAUCAGCGCGAUAGCUAGUCCCUGUCUUCUCGUCCUUCACCAUGAGAUCAGUGAACUUGUCA